rnacentral:rRNA from 1 species
GUUUGAUCCUGGCUCAGGACGAACGCUGGCGGCGUGCCUAACACAUGCAAGUCGAGCGAAGUACUUGUAACAGAUUCCUCCGGGAUGAAGAUACAAGUAUCUUAGCGGCGGACGGGUGAGUAACGCGUGAGAAACCUGCCUUUCACAAAGGGAUAGCCUCGGGAAACUGGGAUUAAUACCUUAUGACACUUAAAUAUCGCAUGAUAUAUAAGUCAAAGCGUAAAGCGGUGAAAGAUGGUCUCGCGUCCCAUUAGUUAGUUGGUGAGAUAACAGCUCACCAAGACAUCGAUGGGUAGCCGGCCUGAGAGGGUGAACGGCCACACUGGAACUGAGACACGGUCCAGACUCCUACGGGAGGCAGCAGUGGGGAAUAUUGCACAAUGGAGGAAACUCUGAUGCAGCGACGCCGCGUGAAUGACGAAGGCCUUCGGGUCGUAAAAUUCUGUCCUUGGGGACGAUAAUGACGGUACCCAUGGAGGAAGCCCCGGCUAACUACGUGCCAGCAGCCGCGGUAAUACGUAGGGGGCGAGCGUUGUCCGGAAUUAUUGGGCGUAAAGGGUUCGCAGGCGGUCUUUUAAGUCAGAUGUUAAAUGCAUAGGCUCAACCUAUGAGUGCAUUUGAAACUGGAAGACUUGAGUUAAGGAGAGGAAAGUGGAAUUCCUGGUGUAGCGGUGAAAUGCGUAGAUAUUAGGAGGAAUACCAGUGGCGAAGGCGACUUUCUGGACUUUUUCUGACGCUGAGGAACGAAAGCAUGGGGAGCAAACAGGAUUAGAUACCCUGGUAGUCCAUGCCGUAAACGAUGAGUGCUAGGUGUUGGGGGUCAAACCUCGGUGCCGCAGCUAACGCAUUAAGCACUCCGCCUGGGGAGUACGUACGCAAGUAUGAAACUCAAAGGAAUUGACGGGGACCCGCACAAGCAGCGGAGCAUGUGGUUUAAUUCG